CCUACGGGAGGCAGCAGUGAGGAAUAUUGGUCAAUGGGCGCGAGCCUGAACCAGCCAAGUAGCGUGAAGGAUGACUGCCCUACGGGUUGUAAACUUCUUUUAUAAAGGAAUAAAGUGAGGCACGUGUGCCUUUUUGUAUGUACUUUAUGAAUAACGAUCGGCUAACUCCGUGCCAGCAGCCGCGGUACUACGGAGGAUCCGAGAGUUAUCCGGAGUGACUGGGUGUAAAGAGUGGCGUAGGUGGCAUAAUAAGUAGCUAGUGAAAUCUGAUGGCUCAACCAUUCAGACUAUUAGCUAAACUGUUAAGCUCGAGACCGUUAGGGGUAACUGGAAUUUCUAGUGUAGGAGUGAAAUGCGUAGAUAUUAGGAGGAACACCAAUGGCGUAGGCAGGUUACUGGGACGGUUCUGACGCUAAGGCACGAAAGCGUAGGGAGCAAACGGGAUUAGAUACCCCAGUAGUC
rnacentral:rRNA from 1 species